rnacentral:rRNA from 1 species
UGGGGAAUAUUGGACAAUGGGCGCAAGCCUGAUCCAGCCAUGCCGCGUGAGUGAUGAAGGCCUUAGGGUUGUAAAGCUCUUUCGCACGCGACGAUAAUGACGGUAGCGUGAGAAGAAGCCCCGGCUAACUUCGUGCCAGCAGCCGCGGUAAUACGAAGGGGGCUAGCGUUGCUCGGAAUCACUGGGCGUAAAGGGUGCGUAGGCGGACAUUUAAGUCAGGGGUGAAAGCCUGAGGCUCAACCUCAGAAUUGCCUUUGAUACUGGGUGUCUCGAGACCGGUAGAGGUGAGUGGAACUGCGAGUGUAGAGGUGAAAUUCGUAGAUAUUCGCAAGAACACCAGUGGCGAAGGCGGCUCACUGGACCGGUUCUGACGCUGAGGCACGAAAGCGUGGGGAGCAAACAG